rnacentral:rRNA from 1 species
AUACGUAGGUGGCAAGCGUUAUCCGGAUUUAUUGGGCGUAAAGCGAGCGCAGGCGGUUUUUUAAGUCUGAUGUGAAAGCCCUUGGCUCAACCAAGGAAGUGCAUCGGAAACUGGAGAACUUGAGUGCAGAAGAGGACAGUGGAACUCCAUGUGUAGCGGUGAAAUGCGUAGAUAUAUGGAAGAACACCAGUGGCGAAGGCGGCUGUCUGGUCUGUAACUGACGCUGAGGCUCGAAAGCAGUGGGUAGC